rnacentral:rRNA from 1 species
UACGUAGGGUCCGAGCGUUAAUCGGAAUUACUGGGCGUAAAGCGUGCGCAGGCGGUUUUGUAAGCCAGAUGUGAAAUCCCCGGGCUCAACCUGGAACUGCAUUUGGGACUGCAAGGCUUGAGUACGGCAGAGGGGGGUAGAAUUCCUGGUGUAGCAGUGAAAUGCGUAGAUAUCAGGAGGAAUACCGAUGGCGAAGGCAGCCCCCUGGGUCGAUACUGACGCUCAUGCACGAAAGCGUGGGGAGCAAACAGG